ensembl:snRNA U6 U6 spliceosomal RNA
AUGCUUGCUUUGGCAGCACAUAUACUAAAAAUGGGAAUGAUACGGAGAAGAUUAGCAUGGCCUCUUCAAAGGAUGACAUGCAAAGUAGUGAAGAGUUUCAUAUUAAA